rnacentral:misc_RNA from 1 species
UUAGAGGGUCCACUACGAAUCUGUAAGUCAUGAGUUCGAGUCCCAAUGGGUAUUUUAAUUUUUUUACCUUUCCAAAAUUUUUUAAAACAUAUUAUUUGGUUAAAUAUUGUAAAUUUUGAAAAUUCCAAACUGGUGAAAGUAUUACAACUAUAAUGUAAUUAAAUCCACAUUAAUAUCGACAGAUGUCUCAUACCAUCUUAACUGUUGCUUUAAACAAAUGUAACUUCUACCAUUGUCAUCGAUAUACCAUUUCAAGUUUAUUGUUUGUGUUGUUUUUGAGUAUCAAUUUUAGGAGUUUGAAUCACACUGGGGAUUUAAAAAUUUUUGCCUUUCCACAAAUUUUUAAAAUGUAUUUUUUGUUAAAUAUUUUAAGAUUUGAAAAUUCUAAAUCAGUGAAAGUAUCCUUAUUAAAAUUUACUUUAUUCUACAUUAAUAUCGACAGAUGUCCCAUACCACCAUAAAUCACCCAGGUGCCUAUAGUAUGUCAAUUUUAUUUUAUUUAAACUAAAACUUUAUUCCAUUUAAAACCAACAUUUUUUCAAAGAAUUGUUCAAAAAAAAAUUUGAAUAGAUAGAUGCUGAGUUUUUUUAGGCUUUGUAGCUUACUACAUGUAUUUGUGAAAUAUCAUUUUGGCCUCCAUUUCUGAGCUUGCAUCCUUCAACAGAUAAAUGAUACAGCAUCGAAAUUUUAUAUACUGGUACAUGUUGCAAUACAGCACCUAUCAAAAUUUUAUAUAGGUGUUGCAUUUGAUAAACUGUCAUAAUUUUGGCAUGUGAGUUUACAUCUAUACUCUACUGGUCUAUGAAUGAGUUUACAUUGUAUUGCUAAGAGGGCUCCAGAACUAGGUUUUUAGGUUAUUUUUGUAUGUUUUUUGUUAUCUGCAGCAGUAUUUGUAUACACCUUACAUGUUGGGCAACAACAAAAUUCAGGAUAUAGGUCCCUCCAAAAAUGAAAAUCAAAGUAAAAAAGAUUUAACAUGAUUUUAAUAGUCUAGACAAGUCAAACUGUAAUGAACUAGAAUUUUAUAAUGUAAUUGUACAUUUAUGUUUUGCUACAUUUUGUAUGUUUUUACAUUUAAAAUUUUAAAUACAUUAACCACAUUCAAUUUUGUGUUUCAAAUGGAUUUCAAUGCAUGUAUGAAUGCUCACUUGUAUGCUGAUGGAACCUCAAAUACAGUCAGUGUCUAUUUUUACAUUGAGAAUUAAAAUGCAGUAUCUUC